rnacentral:rRNA from 1 species
UACGGAGGGUGCGAGCGUUGUCCGGAAUCAUUGGGCGUAAAGGGCGCGUAGGUGGCCUGCUAAGCGUGCGGUGAAAGUCGGGGGCUCAACCCCCGAUCGGCCGUGCGGACUGGGAGGCUUGAGCACUGUAGAGGCAGGCGGAAUUCCGGGUGUAGCGGUGGAAUGCGUAGAGAUCCGGAAGAACACCGGUGGCGAAGGCGGCCUGCUGGGCAGUUUUGCUGACACUGAGGCGCGACAGCGUGGGGAGCAAACAGG